GACGAACGCUGGCGGCGUGCUUAACACAUGCAAGUCGAACGGAAAGGCCCUGCUUUUGUGGGGUGCUCGAGUGGCGAACGGGUGAGUAACACGUGAGUAACCUGCCCUUGACUUUGGGAUAACUUCAGGAAACUGGGGCUAAUACCGGAUAGGAGCUCCUGCUGCAUGGUGGGGGUUGGAAAGUUUCGGCGGUUGGGGAUGGACUCGCGGCUUAUCAGCUUGUUGGUGGGGUAGUGGCUUACCAAGGCUUUGACGGGUAGCCGGCCUGAGAGGGUGACCGGCCACAUUGGGACUGAGAUACGGCCCAGACUCCUACGGGAGGCAGCAGUGGGGAAUAUUGCACAAUGGGCGGCAGCCUGAUGCAGCAACGCCGCGUGCGGGAUGACGGCCUUCGGGUUGUAAACCGCUUUCGCCUGUGACGAAGCGUGAGUGACGGUAAUGGGUAAAGAAGCACCGGCUAACUACGUGC
rnacentral:rRNA from 1 species